UCUUACGGAUGAGCAAAGAAAGUGGCUUCUUGAGAUGAAAUCGACUCCUGAUGAAGACGCUGUGAA
rnacentral:pre_miRNA from 1 species